rnacentral:rRNA from 1 species
UUCGCAAUGCCCGAAAGGGUGACGAAGCGACGCCGCGUGGGUGAGGAAGGCCUUCGGGUUGUAAAGCCCUGUCAGGAGUUAAGAAAUAUAAGUGCGCUAAUAUCGCAUUUAUUUGACGAAGGCUCCAAAGGAAGCCACGGCUAACUCUGUGCCAGCAGCCGCGGUAAUACAGAGGUGGCAAGCGUUGUUCGGAAUUACUGGGCGUAAAGAGCACGUAGGUGGGUUUGUAAGUCAGAUGUGAAAGCCUUCUGUUCAACGGAAGAAUUGCAUCUGAAACUACAAGUCUUGAGUGUAGGAGGGGAGAAUGGAACUUCUGGUGGAGCGGUGAAAUGCGUAGAUAUCAGAAGGAACGCCGGCGGCGAAAGCGAUUCUCUGGCCUAUUACUGACACUCAGUGUGCGAAAGCUAGGGGAGCAAACGGGAUUAGAUACCCCGGUAGUCCUAGCUGUAAACGAUGGGCACUAAGUAGAGGGGUUUU